AUAUCUCUCCGUACGGGAAGGAUGAGAAGCUUCGACUAAGGUUCGAUUCGAGCGCAGCGAGAAAGCGUUGCCGUAGGCAACGACCCGAAGGGCGAAGCGCGCAGCGCUGAGUAAUCCUUCCCCCACCACCA
rnacentral:sRNA from 9 species